UAGACAGGAAAAAAAAAAGAAGAAACCUGCAAAAUUUUGAGAGAGAGAGAGUCUGCAGGAGUGAAGGGAGAAAUAAGAAGAAGAAGAGAAAAGACGAAAAGAUAAGGGAAAUAAAAGGAGUUGAAGGAAAAUAAGUUAAAAGGAUAAUCCUGAUAUUCUACCGGCGAGACGUCAGUAGGAUUUUCUUCGGUAUUUGCUUUUGACUUCUGUUUGCUUUCAAGUCAGCAGUAGGAGCAUACAAGGCAACAAAGCAAAGCAAGAUUCAGGAGCUGUCUUUUAAAACUAGCCCAGCUACACAGCUGUUUGGAAUGACGCAGACCUCAAGUAUUUUUAUCAUCCACAACGUAGGAUGAAGGAAACGCAGAGGCGACUAGAGAUAUUAAUUAUGGAGCUAUCGUUAAAGGUGAUCAUGAACCCUUCUGUGGCCCAAAACAUCCAUGUGUGAAGACACCUGCAAAUAGGUACUCUAGAGGUUGCGAAACUUUUUAUAGGUG